UACGUAGGUGGCGAGCGUUGUCCGGAUUUACUGGGCGUAAAGAGCGCGCAGGCGGCUGGUCAAGUCCGAUGUGAAAGCUCCCGGCUUAACUGGGAAAUUGCAUCGGAAACUGAUCGGCUGGAAGGUGGGAGAGGGUAGCGGAAUUCCCGGUGUAGUGGUGAAAAUGCGUAGAUAUCGGGAGGAACACCAGUGGCGAAAGCGGCUACCUGGCCCAUUCUUGACGCUGAGGCGCGAAAGCUAGGGGAGCAAACGGGAU
rnacentral:rRNA from 1 species